rnacentral:lncRNA from 1 species
GAAUACUAGUUCGUGAUUUCACCCUUUUGAUGGCAGAUGUUGAUCGAACUCCUUCGAUCAAUGUGUGCUGACUUCUCGGAUGCUUCAAAUCAUUUGCACAAUUGCUUGAGAGGCUGAUGGAUCUCUCCCUGAAAUUUGGUGGACUCACGACACUCGUGGCACACCAAUCUCACUUCCCGAACCCUAGGUAGAAACCCUAGGGUACACACCAAAAACCCUACGCCCAAUUUUCUCUCUUUUCUUUCUUUUUCUCUCAGAAGGUUUUGGACCUUCACCAUGCGCACAAACUUUCCCCACACCCCACUUUCUUUCUCUUAAUUUUUUUGUGCACGCUCCACCUUUCUGUCAUUUUUAAAACAACAUCGAACGUGUCUUAUCCGCAUGAGAGGAUAAAGACAAGUGGUUACACAUU